GACGAGGGACCUAGCGUUGUUCGGAAUCAUUGGGCGUAAAGCGGGUGUAGGCGGACUUAUAAGUCAGGUGUGAAAUCCCAGGGCUCAACCCUGGAAGUGCACUUGAUACUGUAAGUCUUGAGUGUGGUAGAGGCUAUUAGAAUUCCUGGUGUAGUGGUGAAAUACGUAGAUAUCAGGAGGAAUACCGGAGGCGAAGGCGGAUAGCUGGGCCAACACUGACGCUGAGACCCGAAAGCGUGGGGAUCAAACAGG
rnacentral:rRNA from 1 species